UGGGGAAUCUUGCACAAUGGAGGAAACUCUGAUGCAGCGACGCCGCGUGAGCGAAGAAGCCUUUCGGGGUGUAAAGCUCUUACGCCAGGGACGAUAAUGACGGUACCUGGAGAAGCAGCUGCGGCUAACUACGUGCCAGCAGCCGCGGUAAUACGUAGGCAGCAAGCGUGGGUCGGAAUUACUGGGCGUAAAGGGUGCGUAGGCGGCGCUCUAAGUUUGGUGUGAAAUCUCCCGGCUUAACUGGGAGGGUGCACUGAAAUCUGGGGCGCUCGAGGAUGGGAGAGGAAAGCGUAAUUCCUGGUGUAGCGGUGAAAUGCGUAGAGAUCAGGAGGAACACCUGCGGUGCAGACGGCUUUCUGAACCAUCACUGACGCUGAGGCACGAAAGCGUGGGUAGCAAACA
rnacentral:rRNA from 1 species